GACGAACGCUGGCGGCGCGCUUAACACAUGCAAGUCGAACGGGGUCCUUCGGGGCCCAGUGGCGGACGGGUGCGUAACACGUGAGCAACCUGCCGGGUUGCGGGGGAUAACCCUGGGAAACCGGGGCUAAUACCGCAUGAGCUCACUUGGCCGAGUGGCUGGGUGAGGAAAGGGGCUCUAGGGCUCCGCGACCUGAGGGGCUCGCGGCGUAUCAGCUAGUUGGUGAGGUAACGGCUCACCAAGGCAGUGACGCGUAGGGGGUCUGAGAGGAUGGCCCCCCACAUUGGGACUGAGAUACGGCCCAGACUCCUACGGGAGGCAGCAGUGGGGAAUCUUGCGCAAUGGCCGAAAGGCUGACGCAGCGACGCCGCGUGCGGGAGGAAGGCCUUCGGGUCGUAAACCGCUGUCAGCGGGGACGAAUGGACCGGGGAGGCAAUGCCCUGGUAUUGACGGUACCCGCAGAGGAAGCACCGGCUAACUCCGUGC
rnacentral:rRNA from 1 species